AUGACCGCAUGGAUGCCGAAGAGCCCUGCUAAAACAAACCAUAUAAAGAAUAGAUGAAUUUUCAUUUGCAGAGGAUUAAGAGACACCCAUGAAACCAGAAGUGGAAGAGGUGAUUAAUCUGAUAUUUAGUUGAAGCAAAUGAAGAUGGUAAAGCAUGACCUAAUCUUGAGUUGUUGGGUUCACGUGGUCCUGGACCUAAAAAAAGACAUCGUCUCUGGCAAAGGACGGUGACCAAAAAUGUGAUAUGGGAGGAGGCAGAAGAUUAAUGUGCAAGAAUUUUGAACAAGAAGAAUGCGACAUGGUCAGCAAUUAAGAAGUUUUAAUAUUAUACUUUAUUUUUUUCUUUGCUGCAGUGUUUUCCUUUUGCUGAUAAAAAAUGAUUGGAUAGUUGCUUUGUUGAAGAAGUUUGGCAAGAAAACACGUUCAUUGUGAUAAUUAAUAUUAAUUUGUUAAAAUGAAAGAGCAGAUUUAUUUCUGUUUGUGAAAUAGAAUUUUGAGUUUGAUAUUAUUAUACGCGUUUUCUUUGUCGGCUUUUAAUUAUGUGUUUUUCUUUACAGUAGACUUUGAGAAGGUUGGAAAAGCUUAGAAAAUUCAAACCAGCGACUUGUCCGUUAUGAAACGGAUGGACGACGAAUUGACGAUUCCAAACAAAGGGUUUUGUUUCCACCACGCUAUAUCACUUUUGCAAUGAGCCAACCGCACAGUUUAAUGCCUUCCUUCCUCUAAUGACAGCAUCUCUACUGUGUCACUGCUACUCUUAAAUUGUUGAAUACGAAAUUAUUUAUUGUUUAUAUUUUUUCUUCACAAUUGGUUUUUCUUCAAUAAUUUACAGAAGAAAAACAAGGCUGUGAGGAUUUAAAUAUUUAUCUCUUCCAUC
rnacentral:lncRNA from 1 species